rnacentral:rRNA from 1 species
GAUGCAAACUGCGAAUACCGGAGAAUGUUAUCACGGGAGACACACGGCGGGUGCUAACGUCCGUCGUGAAGAGGGAAACAACCCAGACCGCCAGCUAAGGUCCCAAAGUCAUGGUUAAGUGGGAAACGAUGUGGGAAGGCCCAGACAGCCAGGAUGUUGGCUUAGAAGCAGCCAUCAUUUAAAGAAAGCGUAAUAGCUCACUGGUCGAGUCGGCCUGCGCGGAAGAUGUAACGGGGCUAAACCAUGCACCGAAGCUGCGGCAGCGACACUAUGUGUUGUUGGGUAGGGGAGCGUUCUGUAAGCCUGUGAAGGUGGCCUGUGAGGGUUGCUGGAGGUAUCAGAAGUGCGAAUGCUGACAUAAGUAACGAUAAAGCGGGUGAAAAGCCCGCUCGCCGGAAGACCAAGGGUUCCUGUCCAACGUUAAUCGGGGCAGGGUGAGUCGACCCCUAAGGCGAGGCCGAAAGGCGUAGUCGAUGGGAAACAGGUUAAUAUUCCUGUACUUGGUGUUACUGCGAAGGGGGGACGGAGAAGGCUAUGUUGGCCGGGCGACGGUUGUCCCGGUUUAAGCGUGUAGGCUGGUUUUCCAGGCAAAUCCGGAAAACCAAGGCUGAGGCGUGAUGACGAGGCACUACGGUGCUGAAGCGACAAAUGCCCUGCUUCCAGGAAAAGCCUCUAAGCAUCAGGUAACAUCAAAUCGUACCCCAAACCGACACAGGUGGUCAGGUAGAGAAUACCAAGGCGCUUGAGAGAACUCGGGUGAAGGAACUAGGCAAAAUGGUGCCGUAACUUCGGGAGAAGGCACGCUGAUAUGUAGGUGAAGCGACUUGCUCGUGGAGCUGAAAUCAGUCGAAGAUACCAGCUGGCUGCAACUGUUUAUUAAAAACACAGCACUGUGCAAACACGAAAGUGGACGUAUACGGUGUGACGCCUGCCCGGUGCCGGAAGGUUAAUUGAUGGGGUUAGCGGUAACGCGAAGCUCUUGAUCGAAGCCCCGGUAAACGGCGGCCGUAACUAUAACGGUCCUAAGGUAGCGAAAUUCCUUGUCGGGUAAGUUCCGACCUGCACGAAUGGCGUAAUGAUGGCCAGGCUGUCUCCACCCGAGACUCAGUGAAAUUGAACUCGCUGUGAAGAUGCAGUGUACCCGCGGCAAGACGGAAAGACCCCGUGAACCUUUACUAUAGCUUGACACUGAACAUUGAGCCUUGAUGUGUAGGAUAGGUGGGAGGCUUUGAAGUGUGGACGCCAGUCUGCAUGGAGCCGACCUUGAAAUACCACCCUUUAAUGUUUGAUGUUCUAACGUUGGCCCGUAAUCCGGGUUGCGGACAGUGUCUGGUGGGUAGUUUGACUGGGGCGGUCUCCUCCUAAAGAGUAACGGAGGAGCACGAAGGUUGGCUAAUCCUGGUCGGACAUCAGGAGGUUAGUGCAAUGGCAUAAGCCAGCUUGACUGCGAGCGUGACGGCGCGAGCAGGUGCGAAAGCAGGUCAUAGUGAUCCGGUGGUUCUGAAUGGAAGGGCCAUCGCUCAACGGAUAAAAGGUACUCCGGGGAUAACAGGCUGAUACCGCCCAAGAGUUCAUAUCGACGGCGGUGUUUGGCACCUCGAUGUCGGCUCAUCACAUCCUGGGGCUGAAGUAGGUCCCAAGGGUAUGGCUGUUCGCCAUUUAAAGUGGUACGCGAGCUGGGUUUAGAACGUCGUGAGACAGUUCGGUCCCUAUCUGCCGUGGGCGCUGGAGAACUGAGGGGGGCUGCUCCUAGUACGAGAGGACCGGAGUGGACGCAUCACUGGUGUUCGGGUUGUCAUGCCAAUGGCACUGCCCGGU